UCCAGCCUAGGCAACAAAGUGAGGCUCUGCCUCAAAAAAAAAAAAAAAAAAAGAACAUCUUAAAAGGUUCCAAAAUGUAAAGGAAAUGAUUACAAAGUGAACAGGAUGAGAUUGACAUUGGAACUUUCACCAGUGAUUUGGAUACAAGAAGACAGUAAAGCAAUACAUCCAAAAUUUGAAAGUUAUUCAAGUUGGAGGGCAAAAUAAUGACACUUUCAGGAAUUCAGGGAUUCAAAACUUACCUCCCCAUAAGAAGUACCAGGGAAUACUCCAAUGAAAUGAAAAAUAAAUCUUAAAAGUAGAUCUGAAAUCUAAGAAAUAAUAUUGACCAAAACCAUGUAGUGGAGCAGAAAUAAGUGCAAUUAGCGGUGAUGGUAAAAUAAGAAUGGAAGUAAAAUACUAGAUGGUUUCUGCAAGUGAGACAAGAAUCCAACUUAAAAAUUUAUUUUUAUAGAGACAGAAUAUCACUAUAUUGCCCAGGUUGGUUUCGAACUCCUAGCCUCAAACAAUCCUCUCACUUUUCUCCCAAAGUGCUGGGAUUACAGGUGUGAGCCACUAUGCCCAGUCAAAUAAAUGGCUUUUUCUUUUUCUUUUUCUUUUUUUGAGACGGAGUUUUUCUCUUGUUGCCCAGACUGGAGUGCAAUGGUGCGAUCUUGGCUCACUGCAACCUCCACCUCCUGGGUUCAAGUGAUUCUCCUACUUCAGCCUCCUGAGUAGAUGGGAUUACAGGCAUGCGCCCACACGCCCAGCUAAUUUUGUUAUUUUUAGUAGAGAUGAGAUUUCUCCAUAUUGGUUAGGCUGGUCUUGAACUCCCGACCUCAGGUGAUCUGCCUGCCUCGGCCCCCCAAAGUGCUGGGAUUACAGGCAUGAGCCACUGCACUCGGCCAUAAAUAACUUUUUCUAAAAGAAACUAUAGAUUGGUUAAUUUUAAGUGCUUAUAGAAAAAUCUAAGUUGGAAUUCUUGGGUGAAUAGUAACUACAGAAACAAUAAAUAUUUAGUGUUACAUAUGUUUUGUUUAUAUAAAUAAAUACAGUUUGACUCUACUGCAUCUUAUCUAUCUUUCUAGUGAUGGACACCUGUGAUACUGCCAAUUUCUCCACUUCACUGCUGCCAUAGACAAUGUAGUGGUAAGUAUCCUAAUUCAUGUCAUGUUAUGGACCUGUGCAAAAAUUUCUCUAGCAUAUAUACCUAGGAAUAUAGUUGCUAAGUCACAGGGCUAUUUAAUUUCAGUAAAUUCUGCUAAAUUACUUUCUUAAAAAUCUAUACUAGUUUAUAUUCUCACUAGCUAGAUGUGAAGAUUCUCAUUUCCUCACAUAUUUGCAAACAAUAUUAUGUGACUUUCUAACUUUGACAUAUUUGGUAGCUAUAACAUUUUAUUUUGGUAUUGGUUUAAAUUCCAUUUUUCUGAUUACUGGGGUAUUUGACAACUACCCAGCUGUUAAGGUUUACAAUUCUGUAAAUUUCCUAUUCUUUUUGCCCAUUUGUCUCCUUUUUUUCCCAUUUUCUGUAAAGACUAAUUGGUAGCAGUUUUUUGUCUAUUUUCUUUUCUUUCUUUCUUUUUUUUUUUUUUUCUUUGAGAUGGAGUCUUACUCUGUCACCCAGGCUGGAGUACAGUACGGUGGUGUGAUCUUAGAUCACUGCAACCCCCACCUCUCGGGUUCAAGCAAUUCUCCUGCCUCAACCUCCCAACUAGCUAGGCUUACAGGCACUCAUCACCACUCCCAACUAAUUUUUGUAUUUUUAGUAGAGAUGGGGUUUCACCGUGUUGGCCAUGCUGGUCUUUAACUCCUGACCUCAGGUGAUCUGCCCGCCUCGGCUUUCCAAAGUGCUGGGAGUACAGGCAUGAGCCACUGUGCCUGGCCAGUUUAUUGUCUAUUUCAGUUAUUACACUUGUCAUUUGAAACAUUCCAAGUAUCUUCUCCCAGUCCAUGGCCUGUUUCUCUUUCUCUUUGUUUAUGGUAUCUCUUGUUUGUUUGUUUAGAAAAAAAGAUUAACAUGGAUAAGGACAAAUCUAUCAUUUACGCUUCAUGAUUCUUAAUUAAAAAAGUUUUCUUCAUUCCUGAGUCACAAAGGUUCAAAGGCUUUCUCCCACAUUUACUUCUAUUAAUUACUUAGAUUUACUUAACAUUUAGAUCUUUUCUUCUUGAGUCUACCACUGAAUAUGAUGUAAGGUAGAGAUCUAGCUCCAAGUUUUCUCUUCUGAUGGCUACUUUUUCCUAUUAAUCCGAUGCAAACUUUAUUGUAUAUCAAUACAGUUGCAUACCUGUGUAUACGCAGGACUGUUUCUGAGCCCCCUAUUAUGUCCUUUGGUCUGUUUUUCUGUCCAUGCCUCUGUGUCGUGUUUUCUUUUUCAGCAAAGUUUUAAGUUUUAUAAUGACCACUCAUCAUCUACAUUCUUCUAUCAACAUUUUUCUAUAUUUGCUUUUAUGUACCAUGUUAUUUUUAUAACUAAAACUUUGUAUCUAUCUUAAUAUCUUAUUAGCAGUGAUCCUCAAUCUUCACUAUAUAUGAGAGUCAAUUAGAGGGUUGGGGGGUCCCCACCCAUAUGGCUUUUAAUUAACUAAGUAUGAGUUGGAACCCAAGAAUUUACAUUUCUAGCAAGUUCUCAGGUAAUGCUGAUGCUUAUGGUUUGAGGAUAACAGAGAAUCACCAUCUUAUAGGAUGAGUCUUCUUAGCUCCUGGUUUUUCCAUAUACAUUUCAGAGUAAGUUUUUUGGCAUUUAUUUUCUGGCCAUGAUGGAUUUACCCUAACUCCUGAAAUGAAUAAAAACAGACAAAAUAUUUGAAACAAUGAUUUUCAAAAUACUGGACAUCAAGAAAUGAAGGACCGUGGUCCCUGAAGGAUGGAGAAAAAAAAGAGUUUCUGAAGGAGAGAAGAGGGGCCAGAAAGAAAAAUAAUAACUGAAUAUUUUCCAAAUUUGAUAAAAAUUAAAAACACACAGGCCCAACAAACUCAACAAACGCUAAGCACAAGAAACAUGUAGGAAACUAUACCAAGGAGUAUUAUAAUCAAAUUACUCAAAACCAGUGAUAAGGUGAAAACCUUAAAAGCAGCCAGAGGAAAAAGGACAUGCAAGAAGAAUAAAGACAAAGGUAAUGGCAGACUUUUUGCCUGAAAGAAUGCAAGUGAGAAGACAAUAUAUUAACAUCUUUAAACUAAUGAAAGAAGAAAACUGUCAACCUAGAAUUCUGUAUGUACCAAAGACUAUCUUUGAAAAAAUAAAGAGAAAAAAAAUUUUUUAUGACAUAAAAACUUGAAGAAUUUAUUACCAUCAAGCUUACACUAUAAGAAAUAUUAAAGGAAGUACUUUAUGCAGAAAGAAAAUGAUAUUAGAUUGAAAUCUGGAUUUACACAAAGGAAUGAAGAGCACCAGAAUUGGUAAUUACAUGGGUAAACAUUUUAAAAAUUUUUUAUUAUUUAAAUGUCUUCAAUAUAUUACAAAGGUAAUAGCAGAUUUCUUGCCUGAAAGAAUGCAAGUAAGAAGACAAUAUAUUAACAUCUUUAAACUAAUGAAAGAAGAACACUGUCAACCUAGAAUUCUGUAUGUACCAAAGACUAUCUUUGAAAAAAUAAAGAGAAAAAAAAUUUUUUAUGACAUAAAAAAACUUGAAGAAUUUAUCACCAUCAAGCUCACACUAUAAGAAAUGUUAAAGGAAGUACUUUAGGCAGAAAGAAAAUGAUACUAGAUUGAAAUCUGGAUUUACACAAAGGAAUGAAGAGCACCAGAACUGGUAAUUACAUGGGUAAAUAUUUUUAAAAUUUUUCAUUAUUUAAAUAUCUUCAAAUCUUACCUGUUAGAACAAAAGUAACAAUCAAUGUAGGGUGGGAUCUAUAACAUAUGUAAAUGUAAAAUGACAGCAAUAAUACAAAGGUCAGGAGGGGAGAGAUGUAAGUAUAUUAUAAGGUUCUUACAUGUGAAGUACUGCAUCAUUCAAAGGUAAACUGUGGUAAGUUAAACAUACAUACUGUAAACCAUAAAAAACCACUAAAAUAACAAAAUCCAAAGAGUUAUAGCUAAUAAUGUAACAAAGGAGAUAAAAUGAAAUCAUAAAAUAAUCCAAAAGAGGGCAUAUAGAGAGGAAAAAGUGAAGACAGCGACAAUAGGGACAAAGGGAUAACAAAUAGUAAGAUGGUAGAUUUAAGCUUAACCAUAUCAAAAGUUGUAUUAAAUAUAAAUGGUCUAAAGAUUUCAAUUAAAAGGCAGUGACAUCAGAUAGACUUUCAACAAAGCAAGAGGCCAGGUGCGCUGGCUCAUGCCUGUAAUCCCAGCUCUGUGGGAGGUCAAGGCAGGUGAAUCACUUGAGGCUCAGAGUUCAAAACCAGCCUGGCCAACAGGGUGGAACCCCACCUCUACUAAAAAUACAAAAAUUAGCUAGGUGUAGUCUCAGCUACUUGGGAGGCUGAGGCAUGAGAAUCGCUUGAACCUGGGAGGCAGUAAGCCAAAAUUGUGCCUCUGAACUCCAGCCUGGGUGACAGAGUAAGACUCUGUCAAAAAAAAAAAAAAAAAAAAAAAAAGAGAAAAGAGAAGAAGCUAAUUGAAUCUAGCUCCAAGCCCUUGUCAUCACUUUUAGUGUACUUGACUUUGAUAUAUAGAAUGAGACGUAGGUUGAGGUUCAUUUUUUGGUGCCAGUACUAUUUAUUUAAAACAUUGUUCUUUCCCUAUUGAAUUGCCAUGGUGCUUUGUCAAAUAAAUUGGCCUUGUAUGUACAGGUACAUAGCUGAAUUCUUUAUGCUGUUUCAUAGAUCUAUAUCCCUAUUUUUAUGCCCAGUGCCACACUGUCCUGACUACUGAGAUUUACAGUAAGUCUUGAAAUUAUGUAGAGUAAUUCUUCCCAAAUUUUCCUAUUUUUUCAAAAUUGUUUUGGUAAUUCCAAGACCUUUACAUUUCUGAAUAAAUUUUAGAAUGAAUUUAUUAAUUACAACACAUAAAGCUUACUUGGAUUUUACUUGGGAUUACAUUGAAUCUGUUGAUCAGUUUGGGGAGUAUUAACUUCUUAAUGAUAUUGGUUUUCCAAUCCAAGAGCAUGAUAUUACUUGAGGUCUUCUUUUAUUUCUCUCAGCAAUAUUUUGUAGAUUGUGGUGUACAGAUCUCAUACAUUUUAAUGAAUGUGUCCCUAAGUAGUUCACAUUUUGAUGCUAUUGCAAAUGGUAUGGUUUCUUAAAUUUUAAUUUCUGAUUGUUCAUUACUAACUGUAGAAAUACAAUUGAUUUUUUUAUAUACAGAUGCAUCUUGACUUACAAUAGGGGUUACAUCUCAAUAGACCCAUCAUAAGUGGAAAAUGCCUUAAUAUACCUAACCUUCUGAACAUCAUAGCUUAGCCUAGCCUACUUUAAAUGUGCUCAGAAUGCUUACAUUAGCCUAUAAUUGGGUAAAAUUAUCUAACACAAAGCCUAUUUUAUAAUACAGUGUUGAAUAUUUCAUGUAGUUUAUUUAAUACUGUACCGAGGUACAGUUUUUACUGAAUAUUUAUUACUUUCACACCAUUGUAAAGUCAGAAAAUCAUUAAGUUGAACCAUCAAGUUGGAGACUUUAUAUUGACCUUGUAUCUUGCGACUUAACUAAAUGUAUCAGUUCUAGUUUUUUUAUAGACUAUCAUAUUUCUUCCAUUUUUCAUCCUAAUAUAUAAUGCCUUUAUGUUUCUUGCCUUACUGCAUUGGCUGGACUAUUUAGUCCAGUGUUGAAUAGAAGUGAUGAGAACAUACUUGCCUUUUCCUGAUUUUAAAAAGAAAGAAUUCAGUCUUUUAAUAUUAUGUUAGCUGCUGGUUUUUUGUUUUAUUGUUUUUGAUAGAUGCCUCUGAUCAGAUUGUGGAAGUUCCUUUCUAGUCUUAGAUUAAGAGUUUUACCAUAGAUGGAUGUUGAUAUUUGUUCAAUGCUUUAUCUGUGUUCAUUGAGACAAUCAUAGAGUUUUCUUUGUUAAUGUGUUAAUAUGUUAAAUUCCAUUGAUUAAUUUUUGAAGGAUAAUCUUGCGUUAUUGGGUUAAUUCCUAUGAGGUAAUCACAUAUUGCCCAUCUUAUAUGUUGCUAGAUUUGGUUAAUAUUUUGGUAAAGAAUUUUGUGUUUGUGUUCAUGGAAGUUAUUGUUGGAAGAUGACUCUCUCUGAGUGUCUUUUUUUUCUGCACAUCUUGUGAGGCACUGGUUACCUUUGAUCUGAACUGUCUUUUCCAAAAUCUUUGUAAGACAUCUUGUAAGACAGAGAUCGUGACUCUCUCUGAAGCAGAGGGCAGGUUUGUUUACUAUUCAAUAUAAUAAGGAUUAUGUUUUCCUUUGGGGCAAAGGUUAGCUUGGUUUGCUUGUAGCCCAUUAUACAAGCUUCAGAUUUCCUAACCUUGGAGUUCUUCAGCUUUGAUGCAAACCCACUGCAUAUGCACCAUCAACCUGGGCUGCUCUGUGUCACUCCCAUGGGUCCUGGGUUGGGGGAGGAGGAACCAACAUAUAUAUGAAACACAUGAUGCUUACUGUACUGUCAGUAAUACAAUCUUUUAUCUCUGACUGAAGAGUCUUAUGUCUUUUACCAGCAUUAAUGAUAUUAUGGCAGUGUAAACUGUUGGCUUACAAGUAAGGUAAACUCCCAGACCCUUCACAGUUCUUGACAGUUUUUGGUGAUAAAAAUGGGAUGCUGACAGAGACUUGACUUUCUGAAAAAGAAAGGGAAGGGUUCCAGUGGUGCAGGUAAGAGGAAAUGAGAAAAUUUUCUAGCAUGUGAUCUCGCCCAGUUGGUUGGAAGAAGGUGGUAGAAGGAUCCCCUACCAUCUUACCUGUUAGUGAAUGUUUAGAGGCUGAGCAGCAAAGGUAGGAUUGAAACAAGUCACCUGAAUGGUGACUUAAUGGUUGCUCACCUUCUUCCUGCAGGCUUUCACUGUAUAGAAGAUAUCCUGUUGGUUGGAAAGAGAAGCCUUGGUGUCAAUGGCCCUGAAGGCAGAAUUAUAGCACCUCCAUCAGAAGGGAUGGACUGAUAAACCCUGAAAAAAUUCAGGAGCCUGCCUGCUAAGUGUUUUGGAACUAUGUGGCACAUUAACAAUGCUCAGUCUUCCUGGAAGUGAAGGAAGAGCUGUUGUCUCUUUAGCAUCCCACCACAGAAACACAGGCCUAGCACCUUAUUGGUCUCUAUGGAGUCUAAUAUUAGAGAUAGUAUAUGCCUUACUUGAGCAUUACACUUUGUCCUUUAUAUAGACUAUCCCACAAACCAGUUAUUAUAAGUGGUUCUGUGCAUUAUAAGUGGUUCUGUGAUUGCUGUGAAGCCAUCUGUGGCAACCUCUCUACCUAAAGACCCCCAAAUCCUAAUGACAUUUUUGAACAAUAAGUCUCAAUGACUGAAGAUUUUGCCAGUUGGAGUUUCUUGCAAUGGGACGCUGCCCCCGAGGUUUUGAACUUGUCAUCUCCUGUUGUGGGGAACACCUCUUGAAAAGCCGCUAUUAGUUUGCUACCGGGGAAUGACUGACCUAUGGAGGCCUUGUGACUCUUUUGCCUGUACCAAAUUAUUCCUAUUUAGAGACUCAAUGACCUAGCAAGGUGGGAAGGGUCCAACAUGCUCAUUUGUCAAGUAGUAACGGUAUAUUUCAGGUGUACUUCCCACCUCCAUUCUCACAAUGGUCGUUCAGUCAUUCCGUGGGUUGAAUGGAUAUCAUCCAGUUGGCGGCUUACACAAACAGGAUAAAUUGGAUUCACUACCCUAAGGCAGCUCCUCCAAAAUAAGGAGUAGACUUACUUAUCUAAACUGGUCUGGGACUCCUUCAUUGCAUAAGCCAGCCAAGAAGCCACAUUGGAGGCACUGUCAAUCUGUGCCCCUCAACUGAUAUGUAAGUGCAACUUGGACAAUUAACUUGCCUUCUUCCUGAAAACAAUGUGACUUGCACUUUAGGGGUGGUAAUGAGAGACCUGCAAAUGUUUACGGAAACAUCACCAGUAGAUCAUGUAUCCCUCAAGUGAUUGCAAUUAUCUCUUCAAAGUGCAAAUAUUGGAUAUUCAAGAGAACUUCCUGAUGGGAUGACUGACUUAUUACAUAUGUGCAGCUGAUGCAGGCAGUUAUCCCCAAUUAGAGUUAUUCAAUUAGAAAAGGUAAUAUUUCUUCUUGAAUUUAGCUUACACUUUCAAUGAUAUCACCUUGACCCUGGAGAUAUCCAGGUCAGCUUCAACUCAAUGGCCAGGGUUAUUAUGGGUGAUAGAAUUGUCCUAGACUUCCACUUUGCAGGCCAGAGCAGUGUGGGCAAUUGCUAAUACAACUUGCUCUACCCAUAUUAAUGUCUCAAGCCAAGUGAAAAGGUCAGCAGGAUCUUAAGAGGAAAAUCACCUGGCUUUCAAAGGUAAAUCCUAGCAGUUUAUGGGAUUUGUUUAGCUGGUUGGGUCUAGGACCUUAGGGGGCAUGGUUGAGUUUACUGUUACGUUAUUGGUGUCAUCCUAUUGUUUGGAGUCUUCAUUAUCUUUCUUAUCAAAGUGUUACUUUUAAGAUAUCUGAUAAGAAUCUGAUUCAGAUUCUUUGUUCCUUUAUAUGUAACAGAUAUUUCUGUAAGCUUUUAGAAUUACUUGUUUACAUUUCAUGUAAUUAAAAAUUUUUAUUUGAUUGAAUUCAGUCUUUCUAUAAUAUGACUAGGAAUGGGGUUUUUCUUUUUUAUCUUGUGCUUUUAAAAAUUUGUGCAUUUUCAAUCUGAAUUCCUUUUAUUUUUUGAAACUGGGCCUCCCUCCGUUUCCCAGAAGGAGUGUAGUGGCAUGAACAUGGCUCACUGCAGUCUCUACUUCCUGGGCUCCAGUGAUCGUCCAGCCUCAGCUUCCCAAGUAGCUGGGACUACAGGUGCAUGCCACCAUGCCCAGCUAAUUUUUUCUUUUUUUGGUAGAGAGAGAGUCUCACCAGGUUGCUGAGCCUGCUCUUUAACUCCUGGGCUCAAGCAAUCCUCCUACCUCAGCCUCCCAAAGUGCUGGAUUACAGGUGUAAGCCACUGCACCUGGCCCUGAUUUCUCAUUUUUAAUUUUAGAAAAUUCUGUCAUUUUUCUUCCAAUACUUGAAAUUGUUCAAAUACAUCUAAGUGUCAGUAAUCACAUAAUUGAGAAAGGUUUAAUUCAUCUCUUACCUUGGGUCUUUAAAUAUCCAAAUAUAUCUUGUUUAUAAGUGAUACAUGUUUAAAACAGCACAAGAAGAUUGAAAAUUAAAAGAUGUCAAAAGAUAUACCUGGUAAAUGUUGAAUAAAAAAGUUUUAUAUUAAUGUUAGUAGUACACCAAAUAGAGUUCAAAUAUGAAGCUUAAAAAAAUACAGAGAGAGUUCUUACUGAUAAAAGGCUUAUAUAGUAAUAGAGUAUAACUAGAGAACCACUUUUUUUUUUUUUUUUUGAGAUGAAAUUUCACUCUGUCCUGCUCAGGCUGGAGUGCAGUGGUGGGAUCUCGGCUCACUGCAGCCUCCCCCUCCCAGGUUCAAGUGAUUCUCCUGUCUCAGCCUUCUGAGUAGCUGGGACUACAGGUGUGUGCCACCACACCCGGCUAAUUUUGUAUUUUUAGUAGAGACGGGGUUUCACCAUGUUGGACAGGCUAGUCUCAAACUCCUGACCUCAGGUGAUCCACCGCCUUGGCCUCCCAAAGUGCUGGGAUUACAGGUGUGAGCCACCGCACGUGGCCGAGAACCACUUUAGAUUUAGUGGCCAGGGAAUGUUUCUCAGAGGAGGUGACAUUUAAGUUGGGAUCUAAGUUACAAGGAAGAAUCAGUCUUGUGAGAAUCAAGGGAAAGAGCAUUCCAAACUGAGAGAAGAGUUAGUACAAAGGCCAGAAGCAAGUACAAGGGAAAGGAAGCAAACUGAGAUUGGAGACAUGAGAAGAGGCCAAUCGGGUAGGGAUUUGUAAUUCAAAUAAAAGAAUCAAUAGACUUUAGUAAAAAAGGACUAUAGUUCAACUUCUAUAAAUCUGUAUGUGGAAAUUCUUAUCCAACAGCCCAAUAUAGCUAAAGCUAUAAUGUAGAUAUCCAUAAACAAUAGAGAUUGUAUUGCAGCAUUGUUUAUAAUAGUGAAGCUGAAUCAAUCAAUAAUUGAUUGUAUGAAUUUAAAUUACACAUACACUAUGAAAAGUAUAACAAUGAUUUUAAUUUUUUUUUUUUUUGAGAUGGAGUUUCACUCUUGUUGCCCAGGCUGGAGUGCAAUGGCACAAUCUCAGCUCACUGCAACCUCCGAGGGCCUCCCGGGUUCAGGUGAUUCUCCUGUCUCAGCCUCCCGAGUAGCUGGGAUUACAGGUGCAUGCCACCAUUUCCAGCUAAUGUUUGUAUUUCUAAUAGUGACAGGGUUUCAUCAUAUUGGUCAGGCUGGUCUCGAACUCCUGACCUCAGGUGAUCUGCCCACCUCAGCCUCCCAAAGUGCUGGGAUUACAAGCAUGAGCCACCACACCUGGCUAGUGAUUUUAAAUUUUAAAAAAACUUGGGAAGAGAGGAAAAUAAAGAGAUUUGGAAAGAUGCAUUGUUCAUAUUUCUCAGGAAAUACUUGAGGGGGAAAGAUGUGAUGGGGCACUGUCAGAUUUGCUCUUUAUAUCUCUGUAUUAUUUAGAUUUUAAAGUAAAUAUCACAAUCAUGGAGCUAUUAAUAUUUAAUCAGAGUCUUAGUGAGAAUUACAAAAGAUAAUGCAUUAUUAAAAUGUUCAUUUUUGGCUGGGCAUGGUGGUCCACACUUGUAAUUCUAACACUUUGGGAAGCCAAGGUGGGAUGAUCACUUGAGCCCAGGAGUUCGAGACCAGCAUGGGCAACAUAGUGCAUCCUCGUCUCUAUAAAAAAAAAAAAAAAAAAAGAAAAUUUUAUUUUUUUAGUUUCCUUGGGCCUCAGAUUCUUUUAUCCUGUAACUAUAAAAAUCCUGUACUUCUUAUCAUGUAGUUAUAAAAAUUUUAUAAUUAGUUAUCAUAUAAUUAUAAAAAUCCUAUAGUUCAUUUUAUAAGAAAUAACAAAAAUAGAAGAAUAAUUUGACAAAUUUGUUAUAGUAAGAGACUUUAAUAUGCUUCUCUCAGAAAUAGACCUGUCAAAGAGACAAAAUAUAAGCAUUUCAGUAGCACAGUUUACAAGUUUGAUCCUUAAAAACACCACAUACACGUGUAUGUAUUAUCUAUCGAGAGAGAAGAGGAGGUGGAUAUUAUACUCAAUGAAACUGAAGAACAUUAAUUGAUUUCAAAUAUGGAAUAUUUACCAGAAAAAAUGACCCUAUAGUAAAACACAAAAUAACUUUCAAUUUAGAAAGCUUACACAACAUGCAGUAAAAUGAGAAAUAGGCAAGAAAAAAUAAAAGAAUCCAUCUAUCUAGACAUUCUCAAACACCUUUGUAAACAGCUGUCUGCAAUAUAAUAAAGUGGUUAAGUUUAUAAGUUCUGAAAUCAUACACUUUGUGAAUUCAAAUAAAAUUAUUUUUUAGUUCUGUGGUCUAGAAUAAGACAUGUAGAGAUUACAUGACUUAUACUUUCCUCAUCUUUAAUGUAGGGAUAGUAAUAGACUCUGCCUCAUAAAAUUGCUUUGAGGAUUAAAUUAAAUAAUGCAUGCCUAAGGUUUUGGCCUGAUUUCUGACUCAAUAACUAUUAGUUCCUGUUGUUGUUGUUGUUGAAAUAAAAAUUUAAUUAGAAAAAAAUUUUAGGCCAGGCACGGUGGCUCAUGCCUGUAAUCCCAACACUUUGGGAGGCCAAGGUGAGUAGAUUGCCUGAGGUCAGGAGUUCAAGACCAGCCUGGCUAACAUGGUGAAACCCCGUCUCUACUAAAAAUACAACAACUAGCUGGACAUGGUGGUGCAUGCUUGUAGUCCCAGCUACUUGGGAGGCUGAGGCAGAAGAAUCACUGGAACCCGGGAGGCAGAGGCUGUAGCGAGCCAAGAUCGAGCCACUGCACUCCAGCCUGCGUGACAGAGCAAGACUCUAUCUCAAAAAAAAAAAAAGAAAAGAAAAAAAUUUUAAGUGACUUAUACUGAGAGUGCUUCAGAUCAAAACCCAUGUAAAAAGAGACCCAAAGGAAAAUUAAUAGCUUUAAAUGAAUUUCUAAGAAAACAAUAUGUUAGAAAAAAGUAUAAUUUUAACUUGUGAAGUUUUAUAAAGAUUAAAUAAGCACAAUGAAGGGAUUAUUAAAGGUAAAAUCAGAAAUUAUUAAAACAAGAAAAAUAUCCAGUAGAAUUAGUCAAUGAUAAAGAAUAAAAAUUGGUUUCUAACAGACCAUAAAGUAAGCAAACUUACACCAACCAUGAUCAAGUGAAGUAGAUGGGGGAAGGAGAAGAAAUAUGUUUGAAAUGACAAAUAGCACAGAACUGUGUACUAUGUAGCUCUUUAUAGUACUAACUUUGAAACAAACAGCAUAAUUUCUAAAAAAAAAAAAUACUAAUUACCAAAAUUACCUCAGAAAGAAGAAGAAAUCCUAAAAGACUAUAAAA